GUGUUUGUAAGAAGGAGAGAUGGUUGGCAUCUCUCCUGACAGGGACGGGUACGGCUUUCGAGCUUUUACCUGUUACUACGCAUUUGGUUAAGGCUUGUCACUUCGGUGAAUCUAUAACCCAAACAAUUU